rnacentral:rRNA from 1 species
UACGAAGGGGGCAAGCGUUGUUCGGAAUUACUGGGCGUAAAGGGCUCGGUAGGUGGCCAACUAAGUCAGACGUGAAAUCCCUCAGCUUAACUGGGGAACUGCGUCUGAUACUGGAUGGCUUGAGUUUGGGAGAGGGAUGCGGAAUUCCAGGUGUAGCGGUGAAAUGCGUAGAUAUCUGGAGGAACACCGGUGGCGAAGGCGGCAUCCUGGACCAACACUGACACUGAGGAGCGAAAGCCAGGGGAGCAAACGGG